rnacentral:rRNA from 1 species
GACGAACGCUGGCGGCGUGCUUAACACAUGCAAGUCGAACGGUGAAGCGCCUUCCUUUUUGGUGGGUGUGGAUGAGUGGCGAACGGGUGAGUAACACGUGAGUAACCUGCCCCCUUCUUCUGGAUAACCGCAUGAAAGUGUGGCUAAUACGGGAUAUUCUGGGUCUGUCGCAUGAUGGGUCUGUGAAAGAUAUUGUUUCGGUGGGGGAUGGGCUCGCGGCCUAUCAGCUUGUUGGUGGGGUGAUGGCCCACCAGGGCGGUGACGGGUAGCCGGCCUGAGAGGGUGGACGGUCACACUGGGACUGAGACACGGCCGAGACUCCUACGGGAGGCAGCAGUGGGGAAUAUUGCACAAUGGGCGCAAGCCUGAUGCAGCGACGCCGCGUGAGGGAUGGAGGCCUUCGGGUUGUGAACCUCUUUCGCCAGUGAAGCAGGCCUGCCUCGUUUGUGGGUGGGUUGACGGUAGCUGGAUAAGAAGCGCCGGCUAACUACGUG